AUGGCGAGGAAGGUGCAGGAGGAGGAGUACGAGGAGGACGAGGGGGAGUCGAUCGAGCGGGUGUUCGAGGGGCAGGAGGUGCCCGACUGGAAGGAGCAGGUGACGGCGCGGGCGCUGGCGGUGAGCGCGCUGCUGGGCUUCAUGUUCAGCGUCAUCGUGAUGAAGCUCAACCUCACCACCGGCAUCAUCCCCUCCCUCAACGUCUCCGCGGGCCUCCUCGGCUUCUUCCUCCUCACCUCCUGGACCCGGCUGCUCAACAAGGCCGGCGUCCCCGGCGUCAAGCCCUUCACCCGCCAGGAGAACACCGUCGUCCAGACCUGCGUCGUCGCAUGCUCCGGCAUCGCCUUCAGCGGGGGAUUUGGGAGCUACAUGUUCGGGAUGAGCGAGAGGAUCAGCGAGCAGUCAGGGGAGGUGAGGGACGAGGACAGCAUCAAGAACCCCAGCCUGGGAUGGAUGAUCGGCUUCCUCUUCAUCGUCAGCUUCCUAGGGCUCUUCUCCGUCGUGCCCCUCAGGAAGAUAAUGAUCAUCGAUUACAAGCUCAUCUACCCGAGCGGCACGGCCACGGCGCACCUCAUCAACAGCUUCCACACACCGCAGGGCGCAAAGCUCGCCAAGUUACAGGUGAAGACGCUGGGGAAGUUUUUCGCGAUGAGCUUCAGCUGGGGCUUCUUCCAGUGGUUCUACACCGGCGGCAAAGACUGCGGUUUCAGUUCCUUCCCCACCUUGGGCCUCGAGGCACGCAGACAAAAGUUCUACUUCGACUUCUCGGCGACGUACCUAGGUGUCGGGAUGAUCUGCCCUUACCUCGUCAACCUCUCCGUCCUCCUCGGAGGCAUCAUAUCAUGGGGGAUCAUGUGGCCUAUCAUCGAGCACAAGAAGGGCGACUGGUACCCCGCCGACCUCAAGCCCAGCAGCCUCCGCGGCAUCGUCGGCUACCGGGUGUUCAUCUCCAUCUCGCUCAUCCUCGGCGACGGCCUGUACAACUUCCUCAAGGUGCUGACCCGGACCAUGACGGCGCUGGUGGCGCAGGUGCGCAGGAUGAUGUCGGGGCCGAGUCUACCGAUCAGCGAGGCCGGGGAGGACCUGGGGCCGGUGGAGACGUUCGACGACCAGCGCCGCACGGAGCUGUUCAUGAAGGACCAGAUCCCCAACACGCUCGCGCUGACCGCCUACGUGGUCACCGCGGCGAUCUCCAUCAUCACGGUGCCGCGCAUCUUCCACCAGCUCAGGUGGUACCACGUGGCCACCUCCUACGUGAUCGCGCCGGUGCUGGCCUUCUGCAACGCCUACGGCUGCGGCCUCACGGACUGGUCCCUCGCCACCACGUACGGCAAGCUCGCCAUCUUCCUGGUGGGCGCCUGGGCCGGCGCGUCCAACGGCGGCAUCAUCGCCGGCCUCGCCGCGUGCGGGGUCAUGAUCGGCAUCGUCUCCACGGCGUCCGACCUGACGCAGGACUUCAAGACCGGGUACAUGACGCUGGCGUCCCCCCGGUCCAUGUUCGUGAGCCAGGUGAUCGGCACCGCCAUGGGCUGCGUCAUCGCGCCGUCCGUCUUCUGGCUCUUCUACAAGGCGUUCGGCGACAUCGGCACGCCGGGGUCCGAGUACCCGUCCCCCAACGCUCUCGUGUACCGCAACAUGGCCAUCCUGGGCGUGCAGGGGCUGGGGUCGCUGCCCAAGCACUGCCUGGACCUCUGCAUCGUCUUCUUCGUGGGCGCCAUCGUGGUGAACCUGGCGAGGGACCUCGCCGGGCCAAACAUCGCGCAGUUCAUCCCGCUGCCCAUGGCCAUGGCCAUCCCCUUCUACCUGGGGCCCUACUUCGGGAUCGACAUGUGCAUCGGGAGCCUCAUCCGCUUCGUAUGGGACCACGUCGACGGCGCCAGGGCCAAGGCGUUCGCGCCGCCCGUCGCGUCGGGGCUCAUCUGCGGCGACGGCAUAUGGACGCUGCCGCAGUCGGUCCUGGCGCUCUCCGGCGUGAGGCCGCCCAUCUGCAUGAAGUUCCUUCCGCGCCUCACCAACCUCCAGGUGGACGCCUUCAUCAAAUCUCUACCGCCGCCGCCUCGCUGA
rnacentral:rRNA from 1 species